rnacentral:rRNA from 1 species
GACGUAGGGCGCGAGCGUUGUCCGGAUUUAUUGGGCGUAAAGAGCUCGUAGGCGGCUUGUCACGUCGUUCGUGAAAACUUGGGGCUCAACCCCAAGCUUGCGGUCGAUACGGGCAGGCUAGAGUUCGGUAGGGGAGACUGGAAUUCCUGGUGUAGCGGUGAAAUGCGCAGAUAUCAGGAGGAACACCGGUGGCGAAGGCGGGUCUCUGGGCCGAUACUGACGCUGAGGAGCGAAAGCGUGGGGAGCGAACAGG